AUAAAUUAAUAAGUGCAAAUGGCAAAUGCCUAGGCACCAAGAGUCGAGGAAGGUCGUAUGAGGCUGCGAAAAGCCUCGGGGAGCUGCCAACAGAGCUUUGAUCCGAGGAUUACCGAAUGGGGAAACCCGGUUGGAGUAAUGUCCAAUCAUUUCUAUCUGAAUACAUAGGGUAGAUAAAGACAACGAGGAGAAGUGAAACAUCUCAGUACCCUCAGGAAGAGAAAACAAACGUGAUUCCGUUAGUAGUGGCGAGCGAAGGCGGAAGAGGCAAAACCAAUCAUGUGCCAAGUCGGCGGACGUUGCAUGAUCGGUGUCGUGGGACCAAAAUGAAUUAUCUGCCGGUAAUUCGACAAGUCAAAAAAUAAAUAGCUAGAUGAAUGACGUGGGAAAGUCAGGCACAGAAGGUGAGACCCCUGUAGUCGAAAGUUAUUUAUCUUGUAAUUGGUAUCCCAAGUAAUACCGGACUCGUGAAAUCUGGUAUGAAUCUGGCGGGACCACCCGCUAAGCCUAAAUACUCCUUGGUGACCGAUAGUGAACAAGUACCGUGAGGGAAAGGUGAAAAGAACCCCGCAAGGGGAGUGAAAUAGAAUCUGAAACCGUUUGCACACAAACCGUUGGAGCUUCCUUGUGAAGUGACAGCGUGCCUUUUGAAGAAUGAGUCUACGAGUUAGUGUGAUGUGGCGAGGUUAACCCGUCGAGGGGAAGCCGUAGCGAAAGCGAGUCUGAAUAGGGCGAAUCAGUCGCAUCAUCUAAACCCGAAGCGAGGUGAUCUCGCCAUGACCAGGUUGAAGCGCGGGUAAGACCGCGUGGAGGACCGAACCCACUAGAGUUGAAAAUUUAGGGGAUGAGUUGUGGCUAGGGGUGAAAGACCAAUCAAACUUCGUGAUAGCUGGUUCUCUCCGAAAUGCAUUUAGGUGCAGCGUCAUUUGUUUCUUACUGGAGGUAGAGCUACUGGAUGGCCGAGGGGUCCUACAAGAUUACCAACGUCAGCCAAACUCCGAAUGCCAGUAAGUGAGAAGAUGGCAGUGAGACUGUGGGGGAUAAGCUUCAUAGUCGAGAGGGAAACAACCCAGAACAGCAACUAAGGUCCCAAAGCGUGUGCUAAGUGGAAAAGGAUGUGAAGUCGCAUAGACAACCAGGAGGUUGGCUUAGAAGCAGCCACCCUUAAAAGAGUGCGUAAUAGCUCACUGGUCAAGUGAUUUCGCGCCGACAAUGUAACGGGGCUCAAGCACACCACCGACGUUCUGUCAUUCACACACUAUCCAGGUUAUUUGGGUUUCCAAAUGAUCCAGGAGUGUGGAUGGGUAGGAGAGCGUUGUGUAACUAGUGAAGCGGUGGAGGAAUCCAACCGUGGAAGUUGCACAAGUGAGAAUGUAGACAUGAGUAGCGAAAGAUGGGUGAAAAACCCGUCCGCCGAAUGACCAAGGGUUCCUGGGCCAGGCUAAUCCGCCCAGGGUAAGUCGGGACCUAAGACGAGGCCGAGAGGCGUAGUCGAUGGACAACUGGUUGAUAUUCCAGUACCCGCGAUAAACCGUCCAUGCUGAAUCAGUAAUGCUAAGUGUUUGAAGUUGGGUAGAGAUACCUGAUGGAGCGCACGACCCAAGCUGGUAGUAGGCAAGCAAAGGAGUGACGCAAAAAGGUAAUCCAACCCAGGCGAUGGUUGUCCUGGGGUAAAUGUGUAGGAGGUUCAGUAGGUAAAUCCGCUGAACAUAAUCUGAGACAUUACGCCGAGUCGUAAGACGAAGUGGGUGAUCCUAUGUUGCCAAGAAAAUCUUCUAGCGAGGUUUAUAGCGGCCCGUACCCGAAACCGACACAGGUGGUCUGGUAGAGAAUACCAAGGCGAUCGAGAGAAUCGUGGUGAAGGAACUCGGCAAAAUACCCUCGUAACUUCGGGAGAAGAGGGGCUGAUUGUUGUGUAGAAGUUUUCCUUCGAAGCAUUAGUUAGACGCAGAGAAUAGGCUCAAGCGACUGUUUACCAAAAACACAGGUCCGUGCGAAGUUGUAAAACGAUGUAUACGGACUGACGCCUGCCCGGUGCUGGAAGGUUAAGGGGAUUGGUUAGCUCUUCGGAGCGAAGCUGAGAACUUAAGCCCCAGUAAACGGCGGUGGUAACUAUAACCAUCCUAAGGUAGCGAAAUUCCUUGUCGGGUAAGUUCCGACCUGCACGAAUGGCGUAACGACUUGAGCGCUGUCUCCACCAUGAACU
rnacentral:rRNA from 1 species